GAUGAACGCUAGCGGGAGGCUUAACACAUGCAAGUCGGAGGGGCAGCAUAGGGUAGCAAUACUCUGAUGGCGACCGGCAAACGGGUGAGUAACGCGUAUGCAACCUACCCUGUACAGGGGGAUAACCCGGAGAAAUUCGGACUAAUAUCCCGUAAUAAUAUCCGGAGGCAUCUUUGGAUAUUUAAAGUUCCGACGGUACGGGAUGAGCAUGCGUCCCAUUAGCUAGUUGGUAUGGUAACGGCAUACCAAGGCGACGAUGGGUAGGGGUCCUGAGAGGGAGAUCCCCCACACUGGUACUGAGACACGGACCAGACUCCUACGGGAGGCAGCAGUGAGGAAUAUUGGACAAUGGGCGCAAGCCUGAUCCAGCCAUGCCGCGUGCAGGAUGACGGUCCUAUGGAUUGUAAACUGCUUUUGCACAGGAAGAAACAACGCUACGUGUAGCGUCUUGACGGUACUGUGAGAAUAAGGAUCGGCUAACUCCGUG
rnacentral:rRNA from 1 species